CCGGUCAAAUCACUCUGCAGAUGAGAUCACUGUAACGGGUUGAAAACGGGAAUAUACUCUAUGCAAGCAGGGACAUCAGGAGGUUUUCUUUUCAAUUUUGAGCCAGGAAAGACAUACGUGUCUGCUGAACAUUGCUUGACUGUAGCUAAGUGAGAAAUCCUUUUUUUAAACAUAUAGUUUGCAGGUUUUGAUACUCACUUUGUUACUCAAAGCUGAAACUUAGGAUUCUAAAUAUUCAAGAUGUUUUUGCUCCUCUGUGACUUUUGCACUCAAAACGAUGCCCUGGAUUGACUCACGCAGACUCACGAGAGGAGAUAUCUCCAACACUGAAAGCCAGAUAAUGUUUUCAUAAGUCAAACUAAUUAUCUUCUCCACCGGGACCAAACCUUCAGCACACUGUUGGAACGAUGCCGUACCACGAUGAGGAGUACCCGGGUCAGCCUCUGUGGCAGUCUGUGCUGCUGUUCUGCUGUAAGGGUAUGAUUGAGGGCAUCAUGAUCAUACUCUUCUUCUGGCUUCUGGUGCAGGUCCUUUUCACCAAACAACUGGAAGUUCACCUCCAAAUUCUUCUUCUGGUUGGCCUGAUAGUAUUUUGUCUGUGUUUGGUCCUGGGAUGUAUUCUGUGCUGCAGGACGAGUAGGAUUUGUGCAGUGCGAGACAAAGACCCUGUGUCAUCAGACCCUGUGACAUCAGCACCAGCUCACGCUGAACCUGUGACCUUUGCCCAGAUCCCGCCUCCCUCGGCAUCGAUGACAGCGUCCGCGCACAAAUACGGGGAACAGGAUGGCGACAUAGUGGAGUACCCCUCCACUUUCCCCAGCCCUACCCCUUCGGAGAGGGAAUUUGCCUCUCUGUCGUUUUCAAAACGAGCUAGAGCUGGUUCUGAACAGAAGGAGCAGCCAAAGUCUUAUUUCUCCCCGCGCCGCCUCAGCACACCACCGCUAAUAUCACCCCUUUAUAAACCCAUUCAUCACAGUCACACUUCCCUGCCUUCAUUUCCCAAACUGGGUCUGAUGUCCAAAACAUACAAGGCUCUGCAGAGGCGCUGCAUGGUGACGGGAGGUAAACUAUCUUACAAUGAACACAGCAGGCUCACCAGUCCCAGUUCUGUCUUUGCUUCUUCGCCUGAGGAACCAAUCCCGCUGGCUCCGUUGAGCUAUGGCUCCGGUGCCAGCUGCCAAAUGCCAGUAUCGUCAAAACCCUGCCUCCAUUUUACGAUGGCCUUCUCCCCAGAGCAGCAGACGCUGGCAGUGACUGUCCUGGACCUCACUGGGACGACCCACAGGCUGCAGGAUGCGUCUGUGCUGGGCAGUCUUCCGCCUCUGUACCCCUGUCCCGUACAGGCCUCCACCCAAAGUCCUGAGAGCCGCAGCCUGGUGCUGCUACUGAGGGUGAGCUCCGUGAUGGAGCUCCAGAAGUGUGAUCUGAGAAUAGAAGUAUACACCCGGGAAGCUCCAACCGCGCUGGGAGAACUGGAGGUGGAAUGCGGAGGAAGAGACUGGAGAGCCGAGCAUCCAUUUCAUCUGGCGAAAGAGCUAAACAUAAACAAGUGGAAGCUAAAAAAGGGAUCGGGGUAUUAAAUAACAUAGGUUAGCAAGUGUUGACCUUCAUUUUAAGAUUGGUGGUAUGGAAAUGAAUGUUGCAAGGCCUACUUUGAUAUUGUUUGCCUGUAUUUCUGUUUCUGAGUGUUGGACAUGUGAUCUCUGUGGUCAGUGCAAUUAAACUUUUCGGUUUUCCCCCUUUGUUGAUUUAUGUGAUUUUUGUACACUGCAAGCCACAUGCUUCAUUUGCUGCUCAUUGGGUUUUUCCUCUCUGCUCUUUAACUGCAGAGUCUGAUCUUAGAGGACACACUGAUGUUUAAG
ensembl:lncRNA